ensembl:misc_RNA Metazoa_SRP Metazoan signal recognition particle RNA
ACUGGGCGCAGAGGUGCGUGCCUGUAGUCCCAGCUACUCAGGAGGCUGAGGUGGGAGGAUCGUUUGAGCCCAGGAGUUCUGGGCUGUAGUGUGCUAUGCUGAUAGGGUGUCCGCACUAAGUUCAGCAUCAAUAUGGUGACCUCCCGGGAGUGGGGGACCACCAGGUUGCCUAAGGAGGGUUGAACCGGUCCAGGUGGGAAAUGGAGCAGGUCAAAACUCCUGUGCUGAUCAGUAUUGGGAUCACACUUGUGAAUAGCCACUGCACUCCAGCCUGAGCAACAUAGCGAGACCCCAUCUCUA